GGGUUGUGAGGUUAAGCGACUAAGCGUACACGGUGGAUGCCCUGGCAGUCAGAGGCGAUGAAGGACGUGCUAAUCUGCGAUAAGCGUCGGUAAGGUGAUAUGAACCGUUAUAACCGGCGAUUUCCGAAUGGGGAAACCCAGUGUGUUUCGACACACUAUCAUUAACUGAAUCCAUAGGUUAAUGAGGCGAACCGGGGGAACUGAAACAUCUAAGUACCCCGAGGAAAAGAAAUCAACCGAGAUUCCCCCAGUAGCGGCGAGCGAACGGGGAGCAGCCCAGAGCCUGAAUCAGUAUGUGUGUUAGUGGAAGCGUCUGGAAAGGCGCGCGAUACAGGGUGACAGCCCCGUACACAAAAAUGCACAUAUUGUGAGCUCGAUGAGUAGGGCGGGACACGUGGUAUCCUGUCUGAAUAUGGGGGGACCAUCCUCCAAGGCUAAAUACUCCUGACUGACCGAUAGUGAACCAGUACCGUGAGGGAAAGGCGAAAAGAACCCCGGCGAGGGGAGUGAAAAAGAACCUGAAACCGUGUACGUACAAGCAGUGGGAGCACGCUUAGGCGUGUGACUGCGUACCUUUUGUAUAAUGGGUCAGCGACUUAUAUUCUGUAGCAAGGUUAACCGAAUAGGGGAGCCGAAGGGAAACCGAGUCUUAACUGGGCGUUAAGUUGCAGGGUAUAGACCCGAAACCCGGUGAUCUAGCCAUGGGCAGGUUGAAGGUUGGGUAACACUAACUGGAGGACCGAACCGACUAAUGUUGAAAAAUUAGCGGAUGACUUGUGGCUGGGGGUGAAAGGCCAAUCAAACCGGGAGAUAGCUGGUUCUCCCCGAAAGCUAUUUAGGUAGCGCCUCGUGAAUUCAUCUCCGGGGGUAGAGCACUGUUUCGGCAAGGGGGUCAUCCCGACUUACCAACCCGAUGCAAACUGCGAAUACCGGAGAAUGUUAUCACGGGAGACACACGGCGGGUGCUAACGUCCGUCGUGAAGAGGGAAACAACCCAGACCGCCAGCUAAGGUCCCAAAGUCAUGGUUAAGUGGGAAACGAUGUGGGAAGGCCCAGACAGCCAGGAUGUUGGCUUAGAAGCAGCCAUCAUUUAAAGAAAGCGUAAUAGCUCACUGGUCGAGUCGGCCUGCGCGGAAGAUGUAACGGGGCUAAACCAUGCACCGAAGCUGCGGCAGCGACGCUGAUGCGUUGUUGGGUAGGGGAGCGUUCUGUAAGCCUGCGAAGGUGUGCUGUGAGGCAUGCUGGAGGUAUCAGAAGUGCGAAUGCUGACAUAAGUAACGAUAAAGCGGGUGAAAAGCCCGCUCGCCGGAAGACCAAGGGUUCCUGUCCAACGUUAAUCGGGGCAGGGUGAGUCGACCCCUAAGGCGAGGCCGAAAGGCGUAGUCGAUGGGAAACAGGUUAAUAUUCCUGUACUUGGUGUUACUGCGAAGGGGGGGGCGGAGAAGGCUAUGUUGGCCGGGCGACGGUUGUCCCGGUUUAAGCGUGUAGGCUGGUUUUCCAGGCAAAUCCGGAAAAUCAAGGCUGAGGCGUGAUGACGAGGCACUACGGUGCUGAAGCAACAAAUGCCCUGCUUCCAGGAAAAGCCUCUAAGCAUCAGGUAACAUCAAAUCGUACCCCAAACCGACACAGGUGGUCAGGUAGAGAAUACCAAGGCGCUUGAGAGAACUCGGGUGAAGGAACUAGGCAAAAUGGUGCCGUAACUUCGGGAGAAGGCACGCUGAUAUGUAGGUGAAGUCCCUCGCGGAUGGAGCUGAAAUCAGUCGAAGAUACCAGCUGGCUGCAACUGUUUAUUAAAAACACAGCACUGUGCAAACACGAAAGUGGACGUAUACGGUGUGACGCCUGCCCGGUGCCGGAAGGUUAAUUGAUGGGGUUAGCCGCAAGGCGAAGCUCUUGAUCGAAGCCCCGGUAAACGGCGGCCGUAACUAUAACGGUCCUAAGGUAGCGAAAUUCCUUGUCGGGUAAGUUCCGACCUGCACGAAUGGCGUAAUGAUGGCCAGGCUGUCUCCACCCGAGACUCAGUGAAAUUGAACUCGCUGUGAAGAUGCAGUGUACCCGCGGCAAGACGGAAAGACCCCGUGAACCUUUACUAUAGCUUGACACUGAACAUUGAGCCUUGAUGUGUAGGAUAGGUGGGAGGCUUAGAAGUGUGGACGCCAGUCUGCAUGGAGCCGACCUUGAAAUACCACCCUUUAAUGUUUGAUGUUCUAACGUUGACCCGUAAUCCGGGUUGCGGACAGUGUCUGGUGGGUAGUUUGACUGGGGCGGUCUCCUCCUAAAGAGUAACGGAGGAGCACGAAGGUUGGCUAAUCCUGGUCGGACAUCAGGAGGUUAGUGCAAUGGCAUAAGCCAGCUUGACUGCGAGCGUGACGGCGCGAGCAGGUGCGAAAGCAGGUCAUAGUGAUCCGGUGGUUCUGAAUGGAAGGGCCAUCGCUCAACGGAUAAAAGGUACUCCGGGGAUAACAGGCUGAUACCGCCCAAGAGUUCAUAUCGACGGCGGUGUUUGGCACCUCGAUGUCGGCUCAUCACAUCCUGGGGCUGAAGUAGGUCCCAAGGGUAUGGCUGUUCGCCAUUUAAAGUGGUACGCGAGCUGGGUUUAGAACGUCGUGAGACAGUUCGGUCCCUAUCUGCCGUGGGCGCUGGAGAACUGAGGGGGGCUGCUCCUAGUACGAGAGGACCGGAGUGGACGCAUCACUGGUGUUCGGGUUGUCAUGCCAAUGGCACUGCCCGGUAGCUAAAUGCGGAAGAGAUAAGUGCUGAAAGCAUCUAAGCACGAAACUUGCCCCGAGAUGAGUUCUCCCUGACUCCUUGAGAGUCCUGAAGGAACGUUGAAGACGACGACGUUGAUAGGCCGGGUGUGUAAGCGCAGCGAUGCGUUGAGCUAACCGGUACUAAUGAACCGUGAGGCUUAACCUUACAACGCCGAAGCUGUU
rnacentral:rRNA from 1 species